UUAUGCGAAUGCGGUGCGAUUCUUCUCGAGCAUUGAUGUCAGUCUCCGCUGAAACUCGCGGUGAUAAGCAUCAUGCUGGCACCAGGAGAAGAUAGCUCAGAGGUUGAGGCCGAGCGCAAGGAGCUUGAGGAGGCCAUUAAGAAUGCCCGAGAAAGGGAGAGAAGGACACUUCUUCUAGCAGUAAGAUUAUGUAUUGGAGGUUGGAGCGAAAUGCUAUAUAACCUUCCUCCAAAUCUGCAGAGCCCGUAAGUUAUAAUAAA